AGGCUUUGAUCCUGGCUCAGGAUGAACGCUGGCGGUAUGCUUAACACAUGCAAGUCGAACGGUCUCUUCGGAGAUAGUGGCGGACGGGUGAGUAACGCGUGAGAAUCUGGCUCUAGGUCUGGGACAACAGAUGGAAACGUCUGCUAAUACCGGAUGUGCCGAGAGGUGAAAGGCUAGCUGCCUGGAGAUGAGCUCGCGUCAGAUUAGCUAGUAGGUGGGGUAAAGGCCUACCUAGGCGACGAUCUGUAGCUGGUCUGAGAGGACGAUCAGCCACACUGGGACUGAGACACGGCCCAGACUCCUACGGGAGGCAGCAGUGGGGAAUUUUCCGCAAUGGGCGAAAGCCUGACGGAGCAAUACCGCGUGAGGGAGGAAGGCUCUUGGGUUGUAAACCUCUUUUCUCAAGGAAUAAGAAUGAAGGUACUUGAGGAAUAAGCAUCGGCUA
rnacentral:rRNA from 1 species